CAAAAGUAUCAGAAAAGAGAUUAUAGAGCAGAGGAAAAUACUGCAUCGCAGUAAUGUAAUUUUCGUAAGUUCUUUGAGGCAUAUAUCUCAAACAUAUAUGAAUCUGCAAGUACAAUCUACACAGUAAAAAAAAUCCUUACUGCAGCUCAUAAGAUCCAGUUAAAAUCUCUGACCGUUGUUUAACUUUUAGUCCAUUUUCUGUAUUUUGGUAGUUUGAUUACUCUAUGUAACAGCAGAUUCAAAAGACCACAGAAUGAUACCUCUGUAUUAAUUAUUAUUAGCACAACAUCAUGUGUAGAAAAUAUAACUCCUAUUUUUCUCAUUCUAACUCUUUUGCCUCCCUAUAAAGAGAAGGAACAAAAAGCAGAUCUAAGACUUAACAGCUCACCCACUUCUUGCAAACCCCAAGGAAUCAUAUAUACAAACAGAUCUUUUUUGGUUGAAGCUUUGAGCUUAAAGGCCCUCAUUCAGAGUCCUUCAAGGUAAAUGCAAGAAAGGCUCAUCUGUGAGAAAGUAAGACUUAUUUCUGAAGCUUAAUGUAGUUGGUUCAGAUGGCAUCCGAACACAGGCAGCCUCAGACACCUUGCCUUCUGCUCCUGGAAUGGCUGCCUGCACAAGCCACACAAGGUCCACCCACAGGAGAUGACUGCAGCCAUUUGCAGAAGACACAUUACAUCUGAACUAUUCACAGGUGCUUUCAUGAUGCAGCUGAUGACACAUCCAAAAUGAUCAUGAUACCACCACAUGCUAGCAGAUACUGUACCAUAGUCCUUGUGACUGUCUGAAGAACCAUAUCGCUAGCUAUAAGUAUUACGAUCAGCAUGGAAUUGGAGGUGAUCUGGAACCAAAAAUCUCUGAAUUUUGUGGCAGUCAACAUGUGGAUUAGGCAGCUGAAAGAUGAGCUGCUUCAUUUCCAAAUACAGCAAGUGCCACUAAAAGAGCCUGCUCUUCCAUUUGUAUAUCACUUCAGAACUUGCAGGGCAGAGUGGCCUUGAAGCCUAACAUACAGUAAUGCAGCGUAGUAAUGUGGUUUGCUACUUUCCAUUACAGACACCUGGGCACAAUCAGGCCACUAUGCUGCUGUUCUCACAGAACCAGUCAUGGUGUGGUACACACAGGGAAGGUUCAGUCAGUUUUGUGUAGUCACUCUUGGGUAUCUGAGGGUUGUUCUCCCUGUGCCAUAUGCAAUCCAUGCAGGUGAUGCUGUAGGCAUUGCCUACAUCUCUUCCUGCUCCCUGCUGAACAGACUUUUUUGUGGUUAGAAUAGAGGAAGAUCUUGGCUUCUCCCUUCCUGCACCACGCAAGCCUUUAGGGAGUGCACUUUGCACAAGGAGCAAAAGGCAAGAUCAGAAAGAAGGCAUGUCCUGAAGAAUACUACAGUGGCUGCCACCACUCACACAAGCAGCCUUAGCAAAAUAUGGGGAAAGUCUAGGCUGAAACUUCUCAAGCACUAACAGCUAUUCUGUCUGCACUCCAUUUACAUAAUAAGAAAUGUUAUGCAAACCUUGUCUGAGAAAAGAUUUCCUUCUCUUUCAGCAGUAUACGCCUGCUACUGCACCAGUGUCUGGAAUAAUUGUGAGGGGGGUUUACUUUGCCGUCUUCACCAAGCGGUAAGAUCAUGGUCCACACCCACAACUUGUACUCUCUACACCAUGAGCUGAAGGAAUGACAUUUUGAUGCUUGGAGUAACUAUCCUCCUCAAGGCAUCUGUAUCCACACUUCCUUCCUCCUUUUCAAGUUCUUUCUGAUCACUGUGCUUCCCCAAUGCUGAGUAUUCUGCUAGAAUCUAGCAACCCCUUUUCCUCAGAGUAGCUGCAGCAAUCGGUAGGUGUCCAGGAUAUUUACCCCACAGACGCUGUCAUCCUGGAGUGCCUACAAUUACAGAAGAGGAAAGUCAUUUAAAAUUCCUCUUGCUCCACCACACACCUAGGAACUGAAUGAGUGACUAGAAAACAGCUCAGGAGACAAAUUUCAGACUCAAAAAAACCCCCAAAGCUUCCUCUGAAGACUGAAAAGAAGCGUCCUAGCUAUAUGAUAAAUCAUAUAUGGUACUACCUACUUUGUCUUGAGAAUGUGUGAGACAUUUUCAGCUGAGGGCAGAGUUGGAUGGCAGUACUGUUGUAGCUCAAGUUCACAGGUAACAUGUAUCAGGCACCACCUGCUCCAAAGAUGCUGACCAAAGAAAAGGAGGGAGGAUUUUGCAUUGAUUCUAGUCUGUAAAAAUUAUGUUCAUACAAACAGGCUGUCUACAUGAUAGCCGUUUUGUUGUUAUUUAGUGUCUCACAUAGAAUGAAGGUAGUCCUUACGCCAGGAGUUAAAAAUAAGAAGCAGGUGUAUUCGUGAGAACCAUGUGAACCAGUUGCUUAGCGUCCCAGAUAGAGGUUUUCUCAUCACGCUUCCUGAGGUGUAUGUUCUGAAGCUCAGGUGAUAUAACUCACAAUACUGGACUCUGGGAAUUCCUUUGGGAACGAGUCUAACCUUGACAACUGUCAUGGGUAUAUGCUCGCAUGCAGUGAGAAUACAAAGUAGAACAACCUGACAGAGGAACUGUCAGGACUGACUGAGAUCAACAGUGACUGUUUUCUUGAUCAUCAUCAUUGACUCAAAUCUGUUCUGAAGUAGUAGACUAGUUAAGUGCUUAUGUAUGCGAUACAUGCAUGAACAUAGAGAACAUUACUACUACCAGUUCCCACUCAAAGGUUGCACCUUUUAACACCUUUAUUAUUGACACAUCAUUACAAUAAAGUAUUAAUGCACUUGGUCAUUUUAAGUAUGUGAAUAGCCACAUUCGUGCUGAUGGGGCUCAUUCAAUUCACAUCUGCAUCUUAAGCCCUAGUCAACA